rnacentral:rRNA from 1 species
GGGAUUCAACCGUUGAUGGCUACGUUCAGACGGCCCAUUAUCUUGAUCAAGCCUUUGCCGAAUUCAUUAGUUACUUGAAGAAGGCCGGCUUAUAUAAGAAUAGUAUGAUUGUGCUUUAUGGGGAUCAUUAUGGGAUUUCAAACAACCAUAAGGCUGCCAUUGCACAGUUAUUGGGUAAAAAGUCGGUAACGAGUUUCGACUUGGCUCAAUUCCAGAAAGUACCAUUUAUGAUUCAUUCUGAAGGAAUCAAGGGCGGUAUUAACCACACGUAUGGUGGUGAAAUUGAUGCGUUGCCAACGAUUUUUGACCUGUUAGGGAUCAAGAACAAGGGCUACAUCCAGUUCGGAACGGACUUACUGUCGAAACAGCAUAACCAGACAGUGGCUCCGCGUGAGUGAAGAAGGGUUUCGGCUCGUAAAACUCUGUUGUUAAAGAAGAACAUAUCUGAGAGUAACUGUUCAGGUAUUGACGGUAUUUAACCAGAAAGCCACGGCUAACUACGUGCCAGCAGCCGCGGUAAUACGUAGGUGGCAAGCGUUGUCCGGAUUUAUUGGGCGUAAAGCGAGCGCAGGCGGUUUUUUAAGUCUGAUGUGAAAGCCUUCGGCUCAACCGAAGAAGUGCAUCGGAAACUGGGAAACUUGAGUGCAGAAGAGGACAGUGGAACUCCAUGUGUAGCGGUGAAAUGCGUAGAUAUAUGGAAGAACACCAGUGGCGAAGGCGGCUGUCUGGUCUGUAACUGACGCUGAGGCUCGAAAGUAUGGGUAGCAAACAGGAUUAGAUACCCUGGUAGUCCAUACCGUAAACGAUGAAUGCUAAGUGUUGGAGGGUUUCCGCCCUUCAGUGCUGCAGCUAACGCAUUAAGCAUUCCGCCUGGGGAGUACGGCCGCAAGGCUGAAACUCAAAGGAAUUGACGGGGGCCCGCACAAGCGGUGGAGCAUGUGGUUUAAUUCGAAGCUACGCGAAGAACCUUACCAGGUCUUGACAUACUAUGCAAAUCUAAGAGAUUAGACGUUCCCUUCGGGGACAUGGAUACAGGUGGUGCAUGGUUGUCGUCAGCUCGUGUCGUGAGAUGUUGGGUUAAGUCCCGCAACGAGCGCAACCCUUAUUAUCAGUUGCCAGCAUUAAGUUGGGCACUCUGGUGAGACUGCCGGUGACAAACCGGAGGAAGGUGGGGAUGACGUCAAAUCAUCAUGCCCCUUAUGACCUGGGCUACACACGUGCUACAAUGGAUGGUACAACGAGUUGCGAACUCGCGAGAGUAAGCUAAUCUCUUAAAGCCAUUCUCAGUUCGGAUUGUAGGCUGCAACUCGCCUACAUGAAGUCGGAAUCGCUAGUAAUCGCGGAUCAGCAUGCCGCGGUGAAUACGUUCCCGGGCCUUGUACACACCGCCCGUCACACCAUGAGAGUUUGUAACACCCAAAGUCGGUGGGGUAACCUUUUAGGAACCAGCCGCCUAAGGUGGGACAGAUGAUUAGGGUGAAGUCGUAACAAGGUAGCCGUAGGAGAACCUGCGGCUG